rnacentral:hammerhead_ribozyme from 1 species
UGAUUGCUGAAGAGUCCCAUAAUAGGACUAAACAGCCGUCCAGUGC